rnacentral:lncRNA from 1 species
ACGAGGGCUUUGACGAGCUUCAACUACAAGGUAAGUAACUCAACUCUCUUGAAUUAUUUUGAAAUUACUUAAAGUUUUUAAUGAGUUCUUAAUUUAGAUAGUAGGAAUAGGAAAUUAAAAAAAAUUUGUUUUUCAAAAAUUAUAUCAUGUUUUUCUUUUUAGCAUCUUUGAAAAAAUUAAAAAUUUGAUCAUGAAAAGUAUAUUGCUAAG